rnacentral:rRNA from 1 species
UAAACGGCGGCCGUAACUAUAACGGUCCUAAGGUAGCGAAAUUCCUUGUCGGGUAAGUUCCGACCUGCACGAAUGGCGUAAUGAUGGCCAGGCUGUCUCCACCCGAGACUCAGUGAAAUUGAACUCGCUGUGAAGAUGCAGUGUACCCGCGGCAAGACGGAAAGACCCCGUGAACCUUUACUAUAGCUUGACACUGAACAUUGAGCCUUGAUGUGUAGGAUAGGUGGGAGGCUUUGAAGCGUGGACGCCAGUCUGCGUGGAGCCAACCUUGAAAUACCACCCUUUAAUGUUUGAUGUUCUAACGUUGGCCCCUUACCGGGGUUGCGGACAGUGUCUGGUGGGUAGUUUGACUGGGGCGGUCUCCUCCCAAAGCGUAACGGAGGAGCACGAAGGUUAGCUAAUCCUGGUCGGACAUCAGGAGGUUAGUGCAAUGGCAUAAGCUAGCUUGACUGCGAGCGUGACGGCGCGAGCAGGUGCGAAAGCAGGUCAUAGUGAUCCGGUGGUUCUGAAUGGAAGGGCCAUCGCUCAACGGAUAAAAGGUACUCCGGGGAUAACAGGCUGAUACCGCCCAAGAGUUCAUAUCGACGGCGGUGUUUGGCACCUCGAUGUCGGCUCAUCACAUCCUGGGGCUGAAGUAGGUCCCAAGGGUAUGGCUGUUCGCCAUUUAAAGUGGUACGCGAGCUGGGUUUAGAACGUCGUGAGACAGUUCGGUCCCUAUCUGCCGUGGGCGCUGGAGAAUUGAGGGGGGCUGCUCCUAGUACGAGAGGACCGGAGUGGACGCAUCACUGGUGUUCGGGUUGUCAUGCCAAUGGCACUGCCCGGUAGCUAAAUGCGGAAGAGAUAAGUGCUGAAAGCAUCUAAGCACGAAACUUGCCCCGAGAUGAGUUCUCCCUGAGACUUUAAGUCUCCUGAAGGAACGUUGAAGACGACGACGUUGAUAGGCCGGGUGUGUAAGCGCAGCGAUGCGUUGAGCUAACCGGUACUAAUGAACCGUGAGGCUUAACCUUACAACGCCGAAG